rnacentral:rRNA from 1 species
ACGGAGGGUGCAAGCGUUAAUCGGAAUUACUGGGCGUAAAGCGCGCGUAGGCGGCUAUUUAAGUCGGAUGUGAAAGCCCAGGGCUCAACCUUGGAAUUGCAUUCGAUACUGGGUAGCUAGAGUAUGGUAGAGGAUAGUGGAAUUUCCGGUGUAGCGGUGAAAUGCGUAGAGAUCGGAAGGAACAUCAGUGGCGAAGGCGACUAUCUGGACCAAUACUGACGCUGAGGUGCGAAAGCGUGGGGAGCAAACAGG